UGGGGAAUCUUGGACAAUGGGCGCAAGCCUGAUCCAGCCAUGCCGCGUGAGUGAAGAAGGCCUUAGGGUUGUAAAGCUCUUUUACCAGGGACGAUAAUGACGGUACCUGGAGAAUAAGCCCCGGCAAACUUCGUGCCAGCAGCCGCGGUAAUACGAAGGGGGCUAGCGUUGUUCGGAAUUACUGGGCGUAAAGCGCACGUAGGCGGGUCGUUAAGUCAGGGGUGAAAUCCCGGAGCUCAACUCCGGAACUGCCUUUGAUACUGGCGACCUAGAGGCCGGAAGAGGUUAGUGGAAUUCCCAGUGUAGAGGUGAAAUUCGUAGAUAUUGGGAAGAACACCAGUGGCGAAGGCGGCUAACUGGUCCGGAUCUGACGCUGAGGUGCGAAAGCGUGGGGAGCAAACAGGAUUAGAUACCCCCGUAGUCC
rnacentral:rRNA from 1 species